AUGUCUCCUUGCAGGGUACCACAGGUCAGCAUCCAGCAGGUACUUGGGUGCCUCAAGGGAGAGGAAAAGGGCAUUCGUGCAAAUCUUCACACAGAAGAAGUGUCUACCACAAUCCUGAAUAUAUUUGGUUCAAACACACAGCUACAACAGAGAACUCCAGUGACUUCCCAGUGCAGGUAUCUGAACCAACCCUACCGCUGCCUGCUGCUUUGGUGGGGUGUCUUCACAUCCUUGGCUGUGGUCUGGCCAGCGGGGAUGGAGAGAGGAGACUCUGGAGAUCUUCAGGACUGGUUCUGCAGCAUGCUUAGGGAUCCUAUUUGAAACAAGUGAAAUGGGGUCACGGUGUGCACUAAAACGUCGUCCCUCAUUCUUUAAGAAAAAAGAGGAAAACAAGAGAAAAGAAGGCUGUCUUGGGGUGGGAGAGAACAUACCCAGAAGGUUUCUGCCAGCAGGGGGAGGAAACCUGAGGUUGAAAUUUCCUGGAGAU
rnacentral:lncRNA from 1 species